rnacentral:rRNA from 1 species
AUUGAACGCUGGCGGCAGGCCUAACACAUGCAAGUCGAACGAGUGGCGGACGGGUGAGUAAUGUCUGGGAAACUGCCCGAUGGGGGGGGAUAACUACUGGAAACGGUAGCUAAUACCGCAUACCAUCGGAUGUGCCCAGAUGGGAUGAGCUAGUGGGUGGGGUAACGGUUCACCUAGGCGACGAUCCCUAGCUGGACUGAGAGGAUGACCAGCCACACUGGAACUGAGCCACGGUCCAGACUCCUACGGGAGGCAGCAGUGGGGAACAUUGCACAAUGGGCGCAAGCCGGAUGCAGCCAGGCCGCGUGGAUGAAGAAGGCCUUCGGGUUGUAAAGUACUUUCAGCGAGGAGGCGUUACUCGCAGAAGAAGCACCGGCUAACUCCGUGCCAGCAGCCGCGGUAAUAC